GGAGUUCUUGCUUGAAGAUUCAUAUAAUUAAAUGUUGUAGACACUGUCACCUGUUUUCAUCUUGAUGCUGUGUGCUGCCCGUAUUUUUCUCAGCCAGAGGAGGAUGUACCACUGAAUUGGAAAACUGGAUUCCUGCCUUAACAGACCGUGGAGUUAGAAGAACUUUAAUUCAAGUGUCCUGGUAUCCUGAGAUCAUAUGAGCUCCCACCCCU